rnacentral:rRNA from 1 species
AACGAACGCUGGCGGCGUGGAUAAGACAUGCAAGUCGGACGGGAUUACUUUUGGUAGCAAUACCGAGAGUGAUCCAGUGGCGAACGGGUGCGUAACACGUGGGCAAUCUACCAAGAAGUGGGGGAUAGCUCGCCGAAAGGCGAAUUAAUACCGCAUGUGAUCAGAGGCGACAUCGCUUCGAAAUCAAAGGUGGCGCAAGCUACCGCUUUUUGAGGAGCCCGCGGCCUAUCAGCUUGUUGGUGAGGUAACGGCUCACCAAGGCGAUGACGGGUAGCUGGUCUGAGAGGACGACCAGUCACACUGGGACUGAGACACGGCCCAGACACCUACGGGUGGCAGCAGUCGAGAAUUUUUCUCAAUGGGGGAAACCCUGAAGGAGCGACGCCGCGUGGAGGAUGAAGGUCUUCGGAUUGUAAACUCCUGUCAUUUGGGAACAAGGCGCCGAAGAGUAACUGUUUCGGCGUUGAUAGUACCAGAAGAGGAAGAGACGGCUAACUCUGUGCCAGCAGCCGCCGUAAAAC